GACGAACGCUGGCGGCGUGCUUAACACAUGCAAGUCGAGCGGAGCGGCGAACGGGUGAGUAACGCGUGGGUAACUGCCCCCCUCUCUGGGAUACCAGUUGGAAACGGCUGCUAAUACCAGAUAGUGGGGGAUGAUUCGCGUCCAAUCGGCUGGUUGGUGGGGUAUGGGCCUACCAGGGCGACGACGGGUAGCCGACCUUGGCGGGCGACCGGCCACCUUGGGCUGCGAUACGGCCCAAUAGCCUACGGGAGGCAGCAGUGGGGAAUAUUGCCCAAGGGGGGAGACCCUGAUGCAGCAGCGCCGGGUGCGGAAUGACGGCUUUCGGGUUGUAAACCGCUUUCAGCCAUGCCGCGGUAGUGGCAGAAGAAGCACCGGCUAACUACGUGCCAGCAGCCGCGGUAAUAC
rnacentral:rRNA from 1 species